rnacentral:lncRNA from 1 species
CCUUAUUCAAAAUUUAUAAUAUCGAUCAUGGUUAAUCCAUAAUGAGUCACCCUGAUAGGACCUCUAAUGAUCUCGAUUAUGAUUGCCUCAUCUGGGGGUAUGAAAAUUUUCUCUCUACUUUCUCUCUCUAAAAUUUUUCUCUCUUCUUAGAUUUUCUCUCUUUAGAAGUCUUAUGGAUCCAUAGAGGGUUUAGAUACUUAGACAAAUCUUAAUUUUGGUUA